AAAAGCUAGAGACAUUUUUUUUUUAACCUCAAAGACCUUGAAGACCUCUCUAGACUACAGCCAUGCAGAUACCUGGUGGACAGUGAUGGCUGCUCACUGGGACGGAUUCCCUUCCAUCUCCUGGCUAAAUGCCAUCUGAACCCUACCUGGGUUUGACAUCUGAAAGGAUUUAGAUCGGCAGAUAUCAAGAAAUUUUUCAACAGUGAGAGAGGAGGGCAAUGGGCCCUCAUACAUCUACUUGCCAGUGAGAUGCAGAUAAGCACAGCCUCGAUGCAGCCAGUUUGGCUGUAUUUAUAUAACUUUAAAAUGGACAUACCUGGCCAGGCAACAACCCUGACGGGGUUGAGGACCCUGGUUAGCUAAAUAAGUGAGGAAGAGUGGAAACCAGGGACUCCCCAUCCAGACCACCAUCCACCACGGGCCUCUGUUCUUUAGCAGCACCAGAAGAGGCUCCACUCCAAGUCAAGAUUGAAGUGGUAUCUUUAGGUAGGACUGGAAAUUAUAAUUAUUAAAAUGAGACUGAGACCAAGGGUGGCUGGAACAACCUUGUGACUUGCCUAAAUUCCAUUCAGGGGCAAAGCAAGAGCUAGUCCCACCGAAUAAAUGUAAAAGAGGCUGG
rnacentral:lncRNA from 1 species